GAUCAAGAGAGUUCAUGGAGGUGUACAGAGCACUGCUGAUUGGUGAGGUGGCUUCUUCUGCUACAAGGGAAAAAGGGUUUGACAACGACAUUGCACCGAGAGCAAAAUGUGAAAUGCAUGAUUGGGGAUUCAAGAAUGUGUCUUGGCUAGCAACAGUUUUGGCCUUAAGUACUUCACCCUUGUCUAAGCAAACCAUAUAUACAGUUCUCCUGUCUUGUUUUUUUUCCCUCCCGUUCUCUCACCUGUAGAUGAGACACGCCCACUUCUCCAAAUGGGGUGGCUGCAAUCCCUCCUCUCUCCAUUGAAGAAGCUGUGGUUUCGUCUACACUCAACUCCAAAGAAUAGAAGAGGAAUAUACAUUCUGUACGAGGAUGUAAAAUCCUGCCAGUAUGAAGAUGUGCAUGUCCUAUGGUCAAUACUAGUGGAGUCAAAUACCCCUUCUUUGCCAUCAAAACAAUGAAGGCCUACACAAGUACAGAGUUCCCAAAAAACUAAGAGAUGUCCACUCAUGUACAUAAGAUAUUUAUCUUGUUCUAUAAUCUCUUGAAAGGAUUUUUGUUUUUGUAGUUUGCUUAUUGAUUCCUUGUCAUCUGAGCUAUAUAUUAGAACAUAGCUUUUUCCGCAAAA